UACGGAGGGUGCAAGCGUUGUCCGGAUUCAUUGGGUGUAAAGGGUGCGUAGGCGGGACGAUAAGUCCGAGGUGAAAGCCCGUAGCUUAACUGCGGAACUGCCUUGGAUACUGUCGACCUUGAGUCCUGGAGAGGUGGCUGGAAUUCCUGGUGUAGCGGUGAAAUGCGUAGAUAUCUGGAGGAACACCGGUGGCGAAGGCGGGUCUCUGGGCCGAUACUGACGCUGAGGAGCGAAAGCGUGGGGAGCAAACAGG
rnacentral:rRNA from 1 species